rnacentral:rRNA from 1 species
UACGGAGGAUCCGAGCGUUAUCCGGAUUUAUUGGGUUUAAAGGGUGCGCAGGCGGGAGAUUAAGUCGGCGGUGAAAUUUUGCAGCUCAACUGUAAAAGUGCCUUCGAAACUGGUUUCCUUGAGUGUAGAUGAAGUAGGCGGAAUUUGUGGUGUAGCGGUGAAAUGCAUAGAUAUCACGAGGAACUCCGAUUGCGAAGGCAGCUUACUAAGCUACUACUGACGCUCAGGCACGAAGGCGUGGGGAUCAAACAGGAUUAGAUACCCUGGUA